rnacentral:rRNA from 1 species
UACGUAGGGACCGAGCGUUGUCCGGAAUCAUUGGGCGUAAAGGGCUCGUAGGCGGCCAACUAAGUCGGACGUGAAAUCCCCAGGCUCAACCUGGGAACUGCGUCCGAUACUGGAUGGCUUGAAUUCGGGAGAGGGAUGCAGAAUUCCAGGUGUAGCGGUGAAAUGCGUAGAUAUCUGGAGGAAUACCGGUGGCGAAGGCGGCAUCCUGGACCGACAUUGACGCUGAUGAGCGAAAGCUAGGGGAGCAAACGGG